AACAAGGCGUACCUGCGGACCUGCGGAGGGAUCAUUACAGAGUUGCAAAACUCCCUAAACCAUUGUGAACGUUACCUAAACCGUUGCUUCGGCGGGCGGCCCGGGUCCUUCCCGGCGCCCAUCGGCCCUCGCGGGCGCCCGCCGGAGGUAAACCAAACUAUUGCAUUGUAUGGCCUCUCUGAGUCUUCUGUACUGAAUAAGUCAAAACUUUCAACAACGGAUCUCAGAUCGGAAGAGCAC
rnacentral:misc_RNA from 1 species